UAAUAUACUACUAUAUAUAUUAAUUUUGCGCUUUACCAUUCACCGGAGUAGAAUAUUUUAUGUUGUAGAUAAAUGAACUUAUAACUAGAGCGCGGUUUUAUGAACUACAACCGAUAUAAAAAUAAUUCACAUAACAUGCUGUAAAAACGAUAUAUGCGGCAAUAUUAUAAUCAAUAGUUAUGUACAAAAAAAAAAAAAAAUUGUAAAAAACGUACGAUAUUAUUGUUACCUAUUUUAUCAGUAGUUAUUAUUCGUAUGUUAUUAAAAUUAAUAAUUAAACGAUAUUCAAAUAUUUCCUCGGUAACACUGUGGCGUGUCUGUCUGUCAAUACGUGUUCGUAGAUUGAAAACGAUCGUUUGAUAUCAACGUUAAAGAAGAAUUCGGAACAUAUUUGAAAGAAAUCAAUAUCGCAUUGGGUCUUUGUAGAUUUCAUCCAGUUGAACCUCUGCUUAAUAAUACUACAUAUAUUAAUGUUAAGUAAGUGACAUUAUUUUUUCGCAGUGGCGCAUAAUUUUCAUUGAAAUACCAUGCAAUAAAUAUUUGAAAUUAUUGUAAAAUAUGUAUAAAUAUACAAAAUUAAUAUGUUCAUACUACUUCUGGAAAAUAUAGUACAGUGAGAAUAUGUGUAGACAAUAUAUACAUAAUAUGGAAUGAACAUGUUGUAAUAAUAUUGUAAUUUUUUUUGCCGCGUACACAUGUACAAUAUAAGAGUAUAUAAUAUACGUGCAUGAGUGCGUAUGAAACAAGUUGCAUACAUGUGUGUAAUUCGAAUUACAUAUAAAAUUAAAGUUUGAUUAUAAUUCGAACAUAUUUACACGUUUCUAAAAACGUUAUUUUAACACGAUUAUCACAUUUUUUCGUUUUGUAAAUAUAAUUUCUAAGAUUAUAGUAUACAAUUCGUAAAGAUUGUUAGCGAAAAUCUAAAAAUACGAAAAGGAAAUAAAUAUAUAAAUGCUUUUGUUCCAUAGAUUGUAUAAUGUGUACAAAGGCUAGCUAAAAUAAAAAAUAAUCCAACAUUAAAACUGUAUAUUUUUAACGAGUAUUUUAUUAAUUAAUCUUCCCUGACAUAAACAUUGACAUAUUAUAUUAUAUUAACCAGCUGUCCCGGCAAUACUUUGCUAUUGCCAGAUUAUAAACAAUAUUUAGUAGAUACCAUAGAUAACACAUAAUCAACAAAAUUAAUAAUAAUAUUUACUUUGUUACCAAUCAACAAAAAUUUUACCACAAAAUACCAGAAUUCCUGAGUCAGCUAUCCUUCAGGGGUUAAAUUUUAGCAAUUUCAACAGUUAUAAACCUUCUCAGGACCAUGCACAACAUUUUGCGAAAAACCUCGUUACAAAACCCCGUAGUUUUUGAGUCUAUAAAGGACCUACAGACAGACAUUCACUUUUAUAUAUAUAGAUAGAUUAUAAUUAUUAAUUUAGUUAUAUUAUUCUAAGGAUAAGGAGAAAAAAAACGUUUUUUUUUAAAAUUAAAGUGGUUCGAAUAGGUUCCGGUUAUUAUAAAGGAAAUUUACUUAUAGUUAAGGUUUUUUUUUUUUUUAUUAUUAUUAACUUGGUACCUACCAAUAAAUUUUUGAUUUGUCUAUAAACUAAAAAGUAAAGAAAUUCAAAUUCGAAAAAUGAAUAUUCGUAUAAAUAAUAUAUACUAAAAAAAUUGAUGGGGGAAGAGGGUGGAAAUAUAUCUCCCUGAUCUCCCCCCUUAAAUACGCCACUGUUAUAUACGGAUAAUAUCGUGAUAAAUACUCAUGCCCGUUCUUUCUCGCAAAAUCCUGUCGGUACUCUUGGUUAGCGCUAGCCAACACUUUGCGGGACAUCGUAAGAGCCGGGUUUCAUAUUAAAGUGCCCAUUUCUCUGCAGGUUAUAUAUUUUGCAAUGCCUAUAAUAAAAUAUACCCGAUACGAACCCGUUAUAAUAUCUCAUCUAUGUGCGUACUUGCGCUAUUACAGCGCUCGUCAGUCGUCAUUAUUUCAUUACGAUUGCCUACGGUUUAGAUAAAAUAAAUUUACGAGAAAUAUUAUACGUAUAGUAUACCUAAUAUUAUGUGAUUUACAACCGUAUAAUCACGCCACAAUUAAAUAAAAAAAAUGAAUAAACAAACACGCACUUCGAAAAAAACCA